rnacentral:rRNA from 1 species
UGGGGAAUCUUGCACAAGGGGCGAAAGCCGGAUGCAGCAACGCGGCGGGCGGGAAGAAGGCAUGAGGGGUGGAAACCGCGGUCAGCAGGGAAGAAAAGGACGGGACCUGCAGAAGAAGGUGGGGCCAACUACGGGCCAGCAGCCGCGGUGACACGUAGGAACCAAGCGUGGGCCGGAGGGAUUGGGCGUAAAGAGCGAGGAGGCGGUUCGGUAAGGCGGGUGUGAAAACUCUGGGCUCAACCCAGAGACGCCACCCGAUACUGCUGUGACUCGAGUGCGGUAGGGGAGCGGGGAAUUCCUGGUGUAGCGGUGCAAUGCGCAGAUAUCAGGAGGAACACCAGUGGCGAAGGCGCCGCUCUGGGCCGUGACUGCCGCUGAGGAGCGAAAGCGUGGGGAGCACCCAGG